rnacentral:rRNA from 1 species
GACGAACGCUGGCGGCGUGCUUAACACAUGCAAGUCGAACGGAAAGGCCCUGCUUUUGUGGGGUGCUCGAGUGGCGAACGAGUGAGUAACACGUGAGUAACCUGCCCUUGACUUUGGGAUAACUUCAGGAAACUGGGGCUAAUACCGGAUAGGAGCUCCUGCUGCAUGGUGGGGGUUGGAAAGUUUCGGCGGUUGGGGAUGGACUCGCGGCUUAUCAGCUUGUUGGUGGGGUAGUGGCUUACCAAGGCUUUGACGGGUAGCCGGCCUGAGAGGGUGACCGGCCACAUUGGGACUGAGAUACGGCCCAGACUCCUACGGGAGGCAGCAGUGGGGAAUAUUGCACAAUGGGCGGAAGCCUGAUGCAGCAACGCCGCGUGCGGGAUGACGGCCUUCGGGUUGUAAACCGCUUUCGCCUGUGACGAAGCGUGAGUGACGGUAAUGGGUAAAGAAGCACCGGCUAACUACGUGCCAGCAGCCGCGGUGAUACGUAGGGUGCGAGCGUUGUCCGGAUUUAUUGGGCGUAAAGGGCUCGUAGGUGGUUGAUCGCGUCGGAAGUGUAAUCUUGGGGCUUAACCCUGAGCGUGCUUUCGAUACGGGUUGACUUGAGGAAGGUAGGGGAGAAUGGAAUUCCUGGUGGAGCGGUGGAAUGCGCAGAUAUCAGGAGGAACACCAGUGGCGAAGGCGGUUCUCUGGGCCUUUCCUGACGCUGAGGAGCGAAAGCGUGGGGAGCGAACAGGCUUAGAUACCCUGGUAGUCCACGCUGUAAACGGUGGGUACUAGGUGUGGGGUCCAUUCCACGGGUUCCGUGCCGUAGCUAACGCUUUAAGUACCCCGCCUGGGGAGUACGGCCGCAAGGCUAAAACUCAAAGGAAUUGACGGGGCCCCGCACAAGCGGCGGAGCAUGCGGAUUAAUUCGAUGCAACGCGUAGAACCUUACCUGGGUUUGACAUGGAUCGGGAGCGCUCAGAGAUGGGUGUGCCUCUUUUGGGGUCGGUUCACAGGUGGUGCAUGGCUGUCGUCAGCUCGUGUCGUGAGAUGUUGGGUUAAGUCCCGCAACGAGCGCAACCCUUGUUCACUGUUGCCAGCACGUUAUGGUGGGGACUCAGUGGAGACCGCCGGGGUCAACUCGGAGGAAGGUGGGGAUGACGUCAAGUCAUCAUGCCCCUUAUGUCCAGGGCUUCACGCAUGCUACAAUGGCUGGUACAGAGAGUGGCGAGCCUGUGAGGGUGAGCGAAUCUCGGAAAGCCGGUCUCAGUUCGGAUUGGGGUCAGCAACUCGACCUCAUGAAGUCGGAGUCGCUAGUAAUCGCAGAUCAGCAACGCUGCGGUGAAUACGUUCCCGGG